GUGCUCUUUCCUCAUACCACCUGGCCAACAACUGCCUCCACCUGCUCUAAACACCACCACCACCAUCAACGCCGCCACCCUCGACCUCCAGGUCCGAGCCCCCUGCCUUCCCCGCCAGGCCCGCUCCCCUGCAGGGCCUGCUGCCUAUCUGUGCUCUCCACCCUCACCAUCGGCCCUUCUCUCAUGGCCCACCAGGUCCCUGAAGCCCACACAGGAGCCGAAAGAUCACCUCGGAGGGGAUCAACUGAACAAGGCUGGAUGGAGGAACGGUGAGAACAGGCAGGAGGUGGGAAAACAGCAUCAGAGGGUUCCUGCCUGCUGCCAUGCCCUGCCGCCCCCAUCUGCCCCCCGUCCGGCACAGGGGUUGAUGCUUGGUAAGUGCAUAGAUGAUACUAGCAACAGCAUCAUCAUCAUGCUACUCACAACAAGUAAAUGUACUGAGUACUUAAUUCAGUGCUAA
rnacentral:lncRNA from 1 species